UAGGUGAACYUGCGGAAGGAUCAUUG
rnacentral:rRNA from 1 species